AAGUCAUAACAAGGUUUCCGUAGGUGAACCUGCGGAAGGAUCAUUUGAGAUUUGGCCAAGGAGCUUGACUCCUAAGGCUUAUCCUUAUACACAUCGUGAACCCUGGGGAUUAAACCCCCCUAUUACAAAUAUGAAGUCAGAACGUCAUUGUACAAAAAAUAUGAAAUAACUUUCAACAACGGAUCUCUUGGCUCUC
rnacentral:misc_RNA from 1 species